rnacentral:rRNA from 1 species
GCUUGCUACUUUUGCCGGCGAGCGGCGGACGGGUGAGUAAUGCCUGGGAAAUUGCCCAGUCGAGGGGGAUAACAGUUGGAAACGACUGCUAAUACCGCAUACGCCCUACGGGGGAAAGCAGGGGACCUUCGGGCCUUGCGCGAUUGGAUAUGCCCAGGUGGGAUUAGCUAGUUGGUGAGGUAAUGGCUCACCAAGGCGACGAUCCCUAGCUGGUCUGAGAGGAUGAUCAGCCACACUGGAACUGAGACACGGUCCAGACUCCUACGGGAGGCAGCAGUGGGGAAUAUUGCACAAUGGGGGAAACCCUGGUGCAGCCAUGCCGCGUGUGUGAAGAAGGCCUUCGGGUUGUAAAGCACUUUCAGCCAGGAGGAAAGGUUGGCGCCUAAUACGUGUCAACUGUGACGUUACU